CAAAGCGUUGUCUCAGGGCUUGGCUACACUUGCAAGUUAGAGCGCAUUAAAGCAGCCCCGGGAGCCCUAACUCCCGAUGCGUCAACACUGGCAAGGCACGCAGAGCGCCUGGAUUCUGCAGCUGGAGCACUCCUGGUAAUCCACCUCCAUGAGAAGCAUAAGGCUUGCUGUGCCCCGGCUGAAAAGCCCGGGCGUCAGUGUGAACGAGG